GGGGAUUUAGCUCAGUGGGAGAGCGCUUGCCUAGCAAGUGCAAGGCCCUGGGUUCAGUCCCCA
rnacentral:tRNA from 1 species